AGUGUGAGAACCCGUUUCUCGCUUCUUUCAUACUUCAGCCAGCGAGAAACUAUAAUUCAAUGCUGCAAUCCUCAAGGUCUGAAAAUUGGAGGUUUUGUACCAACCUCUGCUAAUCAGCAGGGAUCGAUCAAAAGAUGUGCUUAAAUUAAGUAACACUACUAGUUUUGUAAAGAAAAUGAAACACUCUUGAUGACAUAUACUAGAUUUGUUGAAAUAGUUGAACUGAGGCAAUGAUAGCAAUUCAGGCAUUUUUGGGGAACAUUUUUAAAAAUGUACUUGUUUUUAAAAAGUAAAUUUAUAUUUGACCCAUAAUUUUCUCAGAACCAAUCCAAUAUUCAUCUCUACAUUAAACAUAUUUUCAGAGGUCAAGUAUUACUAACAGUGAUUUGAGUUCUAGGUGUGGAAAUAGAAAUCACAAAAUGUUAAUAAUAAAUGAAAAUUUUAAUAAAUUUUAUAUAUUUACAUAAUACGUACUGUACUGUAAUUUAGUAUUUAUGACAACAAGUAUUUAUAAUCAUUGAAAAUUGUAUUGACAGAAUUUAAUUACAUUAAUAAGGGGGCAUUCAUUAUUGAUGUGGGGGGGGGGAUGGGUGAGAAACUGGGGGGACCUGAGAUUUUCCCAGAUGAAAAGGGGGACUGCAAUUCUGGUAUUAAAACCAAAUCCUGGGGGUACCUGACAUUGAAGGAAGACACAUCUACACAUUUCAAAAUUCAUGAUGAGGGUAAAAACAAAAAGAAAUCAGAUUUACAUAAACUUCAUCUUAAUUUAUUUAUGAAGUUAUCAAAUACAUCAUUUCUGAAGUUAUUCAAAACACUCACAGUACAUGUUUCAUCACAUCUAUUAAAACACUUGGGUAUCACCUCGUGUUAUAUUAAUCUGAUAAAAAAUUGCUGUUGGUACUUUGAAUAUAUUUUAAUACAAUAUAAUAACUAACUUUCUUUUCUGCUCUCUCAGUCCCUGCUAUACAAUUGUACAAACAUGUACAUACUACAUUUAGACACAAAGAUGUACAUUUAGAUUUAAUGUACUGUAGUGUUAAAAAAUUAAAUGUGACUGUGUGUAGUACUCUUUAUUGUCAAUAAAAAAGAGUUGUGCCAUAACUUCAAUUUGUUCUUCUCCAUUUUGGCAUCCUGUGCCAUCACUUCUGGUACCU